AUUGAACGCUGGCGGCAGGCCUAACACAUGCAAGUCGAACGAGUGGCGGACGGGUGAGUAAUGUCUGGGAAACUGCCCGAUGGAGGGGGAUAACUACUGGAAACAGUAGCUAAUACCGCAUACCAUCGGAUGUGCCCAGAGGGGAUUAGCUAGUAGGGGGGGUAACGGCUCACCUAGGCGACGCUCCCUAGCUGAUCUGAGAGGCUGACCAGCCACACGUGAACUGAGACACGGCCCAGACUCCUACGGUAGGCAGCAGUGGGGAAUCUUGCAUAAUGGGCGAAAGCCUGAUGCAGCCAUGCCGCGUGUAUGAAGAAGGCCUUCGGGUUGUAAAGGACUUUCAGCGAGGAGGCGUUACUCUCAGAAGAAGCACCGGCUAACUCCGUGCCAGCAGCCGCGGUAAUAC
rnacentral:rRNA from 1 species